AACUUUUGACAAUGGAUCUCUUGGUUCUCGCAUCGAUGAAGAACGCAGCGAAUUGGGAUAUGUAAUGUGAAUUGCAGAAUUCAGUGAAUCAUCGAAUCUUUGAACGCACAUUGCACCCUCUUGAUACAGGAGGGUAUGCCUGUUUGAGUGUCAUUUAUUCCUCAACGCAACUAAGUUAUAAUGACUUAACUUGUGCUUUGAUGUUGAAGGUAUGCUGGCACAAACCAUGUCAGCUCCUUUCAAAUGUAUGAGCAGGACAGCAUGUAACCAGCUCCAAUUUGAUAAGUAGUUAUCUGUGUUGUUGCUGAGUACAGUUGAAUGUCUGCUACCAAUUGUCCUACUUUUGGGACUUGCCUUCGGGGCAAAUCUAUUGAAAUUUGACCUCAAAUCAGGUAGGACUACCCGCUGAACUUAAGCAUAUCAAUAAGCGGAGGCU
rnacentral:misc_RNA from 1 species